UCUUCAUUGACACAAUUAUUCAACCCCUUAAAGACUACCACUCUGAAGAACAGAGGUUCAUUGAAGUGUUUUCAAUCAGGUAUUGAAAACACCUGUGCAUGUCAGGGAGCAGCAAUAAAGCCUAAUAAGCACCAAUUAGGCAGCUUUAAAAUGACUGUGAUACUCAGCUCCUUCUAGACAUUUACUGGUAUGGUUACAAACAUGGUGAAGUCAAGAGAAUGGUGAUUUAAUUAAUCAAUCAACUCUAAAGGUCAUAUUGAUUGUAACAGACGUUAUAAUCUCUGCAACUGAAUAAGAACAAGACGAAUGACAUGUCAGACAGUAGGCGGGUCCCGGGAUUGUUUCACACUAUCAUGUUCUCCACACAAUAGCUGACCCCAGAGUUAGCACAUGCGUGUUUCCUCUUCUGACUAAUGAUCCUUUUGAGACCUCUUCAUGCUAAUUUAGGAUUGUAUUUUAACUGAGUUUUGCCGGGUGCUUGGAAGAGAAUAGGAGACCUUGGAGAAGUGAAGGCAAUUCAUCACCAAACGUUUCCUGUUACUUGUCUCCGGAAAUGUCAGCCAUUUCCCUUUCUUUUAUUUUUCAUGUUCCUAUUUAGUUGUGUGGUGAAUUAUUGCCACAGCUCUGGUUUGGAAUGAUUGUGGGAGUGUAAUUCUGUGGUCCUGUUAUAUAUCCAUAUAUUAUAUUCAUCCAUCCAUUGUCUGAACCCAGGUCCCUAAGUUGAGAGACACCCUGGAUGGAGUGGCAGUCCAUUGCAGAGCACAAUCACACACACUCACACUCUAUGCAGAAUUCAGAGAUGUCUACAGUGCAUGUAUUUGGAUUGGGUGUGGAAACCUGUGUACCAACCCCUGAUGCACGGGUAGAGGAUGCAAACACCACACAUAGGUGUGUGUGGUAAACCCCCAAACCAUCUCACUACUGUACCCCAAAUGAUAUCACCCAAUUCCACAUACAAACACUGCAUGUACACCCAUAUGUAUACUCAU